rnacentral:rRNA from 1 species
UACGGGGGGGGCAAGCGUUGUUCGGAAUUACUGGGCGUAAAGGGCGCGUAGGCGGCCUUCUAAGUCAGACGUGAAAUCCCUCGGCUCAACCGAGGAACUGCGUCUGAUACUGGAAGGCUUGAAUCCGGGAGAGGGAUGUGGAAUUCCUGGUGUAGCGGUGAAAUGCGCAGAUAUCAGGAAGAACACCCGUGGCGGAAGGCGGCUCUCUGGGCCGGUACUGA